rnacentral:rRNA from 1 species
UUGACCUCAAAUCAGGUAGGACUACCCGCUGAACUUAAGCAUAUUAAUAAGCGGGGGGGG